rnacentral:piRNA from 1 species
UGGUGAAAUGGCGUCAGGAUGCGUCAGA